UACGUAGGCAGCGAGCGUUGUUCGGAAUUACUGGGCGUAAAGAGUGUGUAGGUGGUGUCGUAAGUUUGGUGUGAAAUCUCCCGGCUUAACUGGGAGGGUGCGCCGAAGACUGCGAUGCUGGAGUAUGGGAGAGGAAAGCGGAAUUCCUGGUGUAGCGGUGAAAUGCGUAGAUAUCAGGAGGAACACCUGCGGUGUAGACGGCUUUCUGGACCAUUACUGACACUGAGACACGAAAGCGUGGGUAGCAAACAGG
rnacentral:rRNA from 2 species